AAACUUUUCUUUCACACAUCCAACUCAACCUGAACAUGCACUGCACAUAACCAUAAUCAUAAUCAUGAUCCCUUUGUGGGAUCUCAUCAAUGCCCCAAUGGGCGAUACAUCAUAAGAUGAGUUGGCUUUCAUGAACAUAAUAAAACAUUUUUAAUCAUGUAAUAAAAGGGAUAUCUCAUACACAAUGUCAAGCACAAUAUCUAAUCCUC
rnacentral:lncRNA from 1 species